GUUUCAGCCGCCGCGGUAAUACGAAGGGGGCUAGCGUUGCUCGGAAUUACUGGGCGUAAAGGGAGCGUAGGCGGACAUUUAAGUCAGGGGUGAAAUCCCAGAGCUCAACUCUGGAACUGCCUUUGAUACUGGGUGUCUUGAGUGUGAGAGAGGUAUGUGGAACUCCGAGUGUAGAGGUGAAAUUCGUAGAUAUUCGGAAGAACACCAGUGGCGAAGGCGACAUACUGGCUCAUUACUGACGCUGAGGCUCGAAAGCGUGGGGAGCAAACAGGAUUAGAUACCCUGGUAGUCCACGCCGUAAACGUUGGGCACUAGGUGUGGGGGACAUUCCACGUUUUCCGCGCCGUAGCUAACGCAUUAAGUGCCCCGCCUGGGGAGUACGAUCGCAAGAUUAAAACUCAAAGGAAUUGACGGGGCCCCGCACAAGCAGCGGAGCAUGCGGCUUAAUUCGACGCAACGCGAAGAACCUUACCAAGGCUUGACAUAUACCGGAAUAUGGCAGAAAUGUCAUAGCUGUAAAAGGUCGGUAUACAGGUGGUGCAUGGUUGUCGUCAGCUCGUGUCGUGAGAUGUUGGGUUAAGUCCCGCAACGAGCGCAACCCUCGUUCUGUGUUGCCAGCAUUUAGUUGGGGACUCACAGGAGACUGCCGGGGUCAACUCGGAGGAAGGUGGGGAUGACGUCAAAUCAUCAUGCCCCUUAUGUCUUGGGCUGCACGCAUGCUACAAUGGCUGGUACAAAGGGCUGCGAUACCGCAAGGUGGAGCGAAUCCCAAAAAGCCAGUCUCAGUUCGGAUUGGGGUCUGCAACUCGACCCCAUGAAGUCGGAGUUGCUAGUAAUCGCAGAUCAGCAACGCUGCGGUGAAUACGUUCCCGGGGCUUGUACACACCGCCCGUCAAACAAUCGAAUCCCGCGGCCGCC
rnacentral:rRNA from 1 species